rnacentral:rRNA from 1 species
UAAACAACCGGCCAAUGCCUCCUUUCCUACUCCUGGGCGACAGCUGUCGCUUUUAGAGGAGCAUACGCGAUAACGCGUCUAAAAUGCUCACAAGGAGCAAGGGGCGUUGAUUGGCUUACUUUUUAUAAGUACUGAAGUGCGUAUCUGUCUUGAUCCGGCCCCCUCGUUAACGCGUUGUGAUCAGCCGGCCGCAAGGCACUCCGUACUUUGGGGUACACCCUUGUUUUUUGCGUACUACUCGUUUCCUCGGCAGGCUUGCUUGCCGAUUGGACAAAAUUUAAACUCUUUUGUAAUUGCAAUCAGCGUCUGAACAAACUAUAAUAGUUACAACUUUCAACAACGGAUCUCUUGGUUCUGGCAUCGAUGAAGAACGCAGCGAAAUGCGAUAAGUAGUGUGAAUUGCAGAAUUCAGUGAAUCAUCGAAUCUUUGAACGCACAUUGCGCCCCUUGGUAUUCCAUGGGGCAUGCCUGUUCGAGCGUCAUUUGAACCCUCAAGCUUUGCUUGGUGAUGGGUGUUUGUCCUCUUCUUUAGUAUUUGGACUCGCCUUAAAAUUAUUGGCAGCCGGCAUAUAGGCCAUUGGAGCGCAGCACAAUUUGCGAUCUAAGCCUCUAUUCUAGCAAUCCAUUAAGCAUCAUUAUCACUUUUGACCUCGGAUCAGGUAGGGAUAC